AAUAAAUGUGAAGUACUUAACAUUACCACUCCAACGGACCAAACAUCCGCACUGAAGAACCAAUUUCCGUUUAGAUGGUGCGCAAAUCACAUGCGGUAUCUAGGUAUCGCAAUAACCAGAGACCUAGGCGACAUGUAUCGUACGAACUUCCUACCACUACUACAACGAAUCCAACAAGAUUUGAAAACGUGGACAUAUCCACACAUCUCGUGGUUAGGCCGGAUCGCAAUACUUAAGAUGAAUAUUCUACCACGG